GGAAAAACUCUCUCAGCCAAAAAACACUUCCUUUUCACCAAAAUUUAUCUAAGCGGUCCCCUUAAACUUCGUUGUAAUUCUCACCUUGAGAAUAACUCAAAACACUUGUGGUAGUAUUUGUUUUGGAGUUGUUGUCUUUUGGGUUGCUGUGUUCGUGGUGUUGCCGAGUUCAAGAGAAGUCGAGUUCUUACCAUAGAGUGGAAUCAUGAGGAAGUGACACUACAAGGGGAAUUCAAAUCUUUUUCCAUAGAUUUGAAAAUUUUGUUGUUGAACUGAACGACAGACUGAACAAGUGUGGGGUUAUUAGUCAUCGUUUUGAUGUGGGUGUCAAGGAGAUUGAAGCCAGAACUGCUAUGCUAUCCCUUCUAGACAGUUCGAAGACAACAAAGAUGGAAAGAAAGCACGGGUGAAGAAAGCCCAUUAUAUUAUAGCGGUCCUCCACACCUCCUCUCCACACACAUCGCUCCUAUUAUCCUUCACCAGUUGUACGUAACCGGCUGCACCUAGCUGUCGGAAGAAGACGACACUAGUAGACAACGCCAGACACACCUACCUUCUGCAUUGCCGUGCCUUCUGGUUCUACCGCCGUCUCUGAUGAGAUGACGACAUUAAAAACAACUUCAGAAGAAGUAAAUGUACCUAUUGAAGAUAGAGAAAUCUGUGAACGAGUGUUGAGUAACGGUCGGGGCAUGUGAAGGGCAAAGGUUGGGGACUAAGACCAAGAAAUGCUAGGAAUAAUGCAAGUUUUCAACAUGCUAAUGAAACAAAUGCUCAAGUUGCACAUUUGCAAAGUGUAAUUGAAUCACAACAAGUCGUUACUGAAGAUAUCUUAAGAAGGUUGGCAACUCAAGAAGAGAUAUCUAACACAGAAAGGAGUUUGGAAAAAUCGAACGAUAGUUAAAAGAUUUUAUGUCUUCAUGAUGACGGGCUAAUACGAGAUUUCACAAAGUUCAAUCUAGAUGAAAAUGCAAAGAAUUUGGAGGUAUUUUAUAUUUUUGUUUCAAACUGAUCUUUUGUGCUUCAAAUACCUUACAUUGUGAUUUUUGUUAUGUAAACUUGUGACAACUCGUGUUGGUACUAAUUUUGAUUGAUAUAAC